rnacentral:rRNA from 1 species
ACAUGUACGGAACCCUGCUGAGAGGUGGGGGUGCCCGAAAGGGAGCCGUAACACAGGUGCUGCAUGGCUGUCGUCAGCUCGUGUCGUGAGAUGUUGGGUUAAGUCCCGCAACGAGCGCAACCCUUGUCCCUAGUUGCUACGCAAGAGCACUCCAGGGAGACUGCCGGUGACAAACCGGAGGAAGGUGGGGAUGACGUCAAGUCCUCAUGGCCCUUAUGGGUAGGGCUUCACACGUCAUACAAUGGUCGGAACAGAGGGUUGCGAAGCCGCGAGGUGGAGCCAAUCCCAGAAAACCGAUCGUAGUCCGGAUCGCAGUCUGCAACUCGACUGCGUGAAGCUGGAAUCGCUAGUAAUCGCGGAUCAGCAUGCCGCGGUGAAUACGU